rnacentral:rRNA from 1 species
GCAGGUUGAAGCGCGGGUAAGACCGCGUGGAGGACCGAACCCACCUGGGUUGAAAACCGGGGGGAUGACUUGGGGCUAGGGGUGAAAGGCCAAUCAAAUUCCGUGAUAGCUGGUUCUCUCCGAAAUGCAUUUAGGUGCAGCGUCGGGGAUUACGUCCGGGGGGUAGAGCUACUGGAUGCUUGAGGGCCCGUAUCGGGUACCGACAGCAGCCAAACUCCGAAUACCCGUGACGCGUAUCCCGGCAGUGAGUCGGCGGGGGAUAAGCUCCGUCGUCGAAAGGGAAACAGCCCAGAUCGUCGUCUAAGGUCCCCAAGCGUGUGCUAAGUGGGAAAGGAUGUGGAGUCGCAUAGACAGCCAGGAGGUUGGCUCAGAAGCAGCCACCCUUGAAAGAGUGCGUAACAGCUCACUGGUCUAGUGGUUCCGCGCCGACAAUGUAGCGGGGCUCAAGCACGCCACCGAAGACGCGGCAGCGUCCGUUUGGAUGCUGGGUAGGAGAGCGUCCCCAUCGGGGCGAAGCGGCGGCGCAAGCCUGCCGUGGACCGUUGGGGAGUGAGAAUGCAGACAUGAGUAGCGAGAGGCGGGUGCGAAUCCCGCCCGCUGGAUGACCAAGGGUUCCGGGGCCACGUUCGUCGUCCCCGGGUGAGUCGGGUCCUAAGGCGAGGCCGACAGGCGUAGUCGAAUGGAUGAACGGGUCGAUAUUCCCGUACCGGCAUGCAACCGGCAAAACCGAAUCCGCGAGUACUAACCUCCGGGUCCGGGCUUACGUCUCCUUCGGGAGCCGGAUGCCCUGGCCUGUUGGGACCGUAACGGUAGUAGGUCAGCGCGGGAGUGACGCAGAAGGGUAGCCGGCCGCGGAGGUGGUCUUCCGUGGUCAAGCACGCAGCCCGUCCCACAGGCAAAUCCGUGGGGCGCGUGGGCGAGGUGCGAUGAUGGGCGCCGCAGGGCGCGAUAUCCGGUGAUCCCGGCUGCCGAGAAAAGCUUCGGCGUGAGGCGGCGUGCCGCCCGUACCCCAAACCGACACUGGUGGUCAGGUAGAGAAUACCAAAGCGAUCGAGCGAAUCCUGGUCAAGGAACUCGGCAAAUCACUCCCGUUCCUUCGGUUUAAGGGAGACCCCCGAUGGUGAAGCGGCUUGCCCGUGGAGCUUUUGGGGGUGGCACAGACCAGGGGGUAGCGACUGUUUACCAAAAACACAGGAGCGUGCGAAGGCGCAAGCCGCUGUAUACGCUCUGACGCCUGCCCGGUGCCGGAAGGUUAAGAGGAUCCGUCAGGCUUCGGCCGAAGCGGUGAAUUCAAGCCCCGGUAAACGGCGGUGGUAACUAUAACCAUCCUAAGGUAGCGAAAUUCCUUGUCGGGUAAGUUCCGACCUGCACGAAUGGCGUAACGACUUCCCCACUGUCUCGACCAGGAGCUCGGCGAAAUUGCAGUACGAGUAAAGAUGCUCGUUAAGCGCAGAAGGACGAAAAGACCCCGGGACCUUUACUAUACCUUGGUAUUGGCAUUCGGUGUGGAUUGUGUAGCAUAGGCGGAAGGCUUCGAAGCCACGGCGCCAGCCGCGGUGGAGCCGCAAGGUGAAAUACCGCUCUGUUCGCAUUGGAUGUCUAACCUCGACCAGUCAUCCUGGUCAGGGACAGUGCCUGGCGGGUAGUUUAACUGGGGCGGUUGCCUCCCAAAGAGUAACGGAGGCGCUCAAAGGUUCCCUCAGCCCGGUUGGCAAUCGGGGGGCGAGUGUAAGUGCACAAGGGAGCUUGACUGCGAGACUGACGGGUCGAGCAGGGACGAAAGUCGGAACUAGUGAUCCGGUGCCGGUGUACGGACGCGGCAUCGCUCAACGGAUAAAAGGUACCCCGGGGAUAACAGGCUGAUCAUUCCCAAGAGUCCAUAUCGACGGGAUGGUUUGGCACCUCGAUGUCGGCUCGUCGCAUCCUGGGGCUGGAGCAGGUCCCAAGGGUUCGGCUGUUCGCCGAUUAAAGCGGCACGCGAGCUGGGUUCAGAACGUCGUGAGACAGUUUGGUCUCUAUCCUCUGCGCUCGUCGGAAUGUUGAGGAGGCCUGCCCAUAGUACGAGAGGACCUGGGUGGACGAACCUCUGGUAUGCCGGUUGUCACGCCAGUGGCACGGCCGGUUGGCUACGUUCG